rnacentral:rRNA from 1 species
AUCCGCCUAAUAAUUUACUUUUAUUAUAUUGGUGUAUAUCUGGUUUAAUAUUAUUGCUGAAUGGCAGAAGUUGUGUAGUGUUAUUUAAGCCAAGUCUAUGUGCUGUUUAUAAAAGUAUUCAUGCGUUACAUUAAUAAGUAUUUAAUUGUAAUAUUAGAUGAUUUAGGACUUAAAAGUAAUGUUUAAUUAAUUAGUAAAUGUGAAAUAAGUUUAGCUCAUGU